rnacentral:rRNA from 1 species
UACGGGGGGGGCAAGCGUUGUUCGGACUUCCUGGGCGUAAAGGGCUCGUAGGCGGCCCACUAAGUCAGACGUGAAAUCCCUCGGCUUAACCGGGGAACUGCAUCUGAUACUGGAUGGCUUGAGUUCGGGAGAGGGAUGCGGAAUUCCAGGUGUAGCGGUGAAAUGCGUAGAUAUCGGGAGGAACACCAGUGGCGAAGGCGACUUCCUGGCCUGUUCUUGACGCUGAGGCGCGAAAGCUAGGGGAGCAAACGGG